CUAAGCAUUUUUUAGCUUCUCUCUUUCAUUUCAUGUUCGGGUAACAACAGAACACUUCACCUGCACGUCAAUGGCAAACAGGUCAGAAAGAAAGGAAUGUGUCUACCUUCAUUUGUGAGAUGUAGCUAGUCUUCACCCAACUCCUACGUGCAUUGGGGGAAAGCCUACUUUAGGAAAUGUUCAGUCUUGCUACUGCAUGUUUCUUUGCAUUUAAACUUAGCGAAACGGUGUUUUUUUUAAGCGUUUGAUUUUGGUUUGACAUAAAACAUAUUUUCCAGUUCAUCUUCCUUCUUUUGCUGUAACUACUCCGAGGAGGUUGAAGGGAAGAGUUUGAGAUCUUCCUUGACAACAAGGCAAAAAUGUGUGCUAUACAAUGGAGAAGAGGUGGAAAACUUUUUUUUUCAAGUUAAUCCACUCGGGAUUCCAGAUGAAGAUUUUUUUCUUCGUGACAGUGUUUGACUGGAAAGACAGACUGUGGAGACGUGUUUGAGACGACACACAGGCUGCAUCCGAAAUUCGUGUGUGUAACCUCUUCUCCAUCUGCCACACACAUCUCUACCUAGCACAGGCUGCUCUUCAUCUGCGUCUGAUGAUGACGACCGUGCGCCAUCAAGCCGAGGAUCAACCUCAGGCCAUGUUGUGUCAUCGGCGGCUGACUUGUCUUGACUGGUCAUUACAAACCAAGUUCAUUCUAUACAGCAAGAGGAGAAAGCAAAUUGUCAUCAUAACAGCGAAGCCUCCAUAACACAAGUAAGCUAUGUCAUCCGUCAUGGAAAAGUUGGAUAAACUGAAAAAAUGUGGUGACGGUGAAAUUCAGAAAAUGAGCAACAUACCCAAAAACGAAAAGUUCGAAGUGCUGGACAUUCAGAAAAUUGACACUAUGUAUGGCGAGGCAGUAUACGUGGAGCUCCGCAUGGAAAACGACAAGCCAGUGAAAGUGUAUCUACCUGGACGCUUCAAAAAAUUGUCGGAGGAAGAGCUAGAGGAAAUGCGACUGCUUCCAAAUCUCAAAAUGGAGAAGAAAGAACGGUUUACCAAAGAUGGUAAAAAAGUCAUUUCGCCAGAUAUUAUCUUCACCAAUUCGAAGAGAAAGUGAUGAGAUAUGGUGAUGUGUCACUUAUGCUCCCAGCACGAACGGCAGUAUUAUGCAACAGCAUUAGGUCCUCAGAUUCACUUAGCAAAUGUUCACAAUCUUCAAGCCCCCUGCAUUCCUUUUUGUGAGACUUUGUGCACACUGCGAAACUAUACUAAUCGGUUCGAGCUACAU